AACAAUGCAAUAAAUAAUUUAUAAUUUAAUACAGUAGAAUUAUUUAUUUAUUUACAAUUGUUAUAUACAAAGUCAAUAUGAGAUGAUAUAUACAAACGGUAAUAUAAUACAAAAUACAAUUAAAGUUCCUAUAUUAUAGCUACUUUCUUAUAUACAGCUAAAAAUAUAUUUGAAGUCUGUAGUGGAAAAGCGUCUGGUUGAAAGAGAGUGUGAUGUUUCCCAGCACAAAAAGAACGUGCAUAGGGAAUUGUGGGAUGUUAUGAUGGCCAUGUUAAUGUUAGAGUGGGUGUAUAGGUAUUUUAUUUAUAUGACAGAGUGAGAUAGUGCCAUUUCACGAAAACGAAAGAUGACUAAGAUGUCAAGUUGUGACAACUUAAAGUAAAUAGCACGAAUUGGUAUAUAAGCUCUUGUGAAAUAUUGGUGGAUAGAGGGUGUGUUCGGUUAGACCAUAUGAUCGACAGAUAAGGAGGAGCAUUUAUAGAGGUUUGUCCAGACUUUUGAAAAGUCAACAUGAGGAUAGGAGUAGUGUGAUGGUUUUCCAACAGAAAGGAUUUCAGUUUUAUCAUGGUUUAGUUUGGAGCCAGAUAUAGAGCCAAAUGUUUUGAAUUGUUCGAGGAGAGUGCUGUAUGAAGAAAGUCUAGAUAUUAUAGCAGAACAGUCAUCUGCAUGCUGAAAUAACUUAAUCUCUGAAGGGUGGUUAGGGAUCCUGAUGCCUUUUAUGAGGAUGUUUUUGUUUAUGUAUGAAGCAAGGGGGUUGAUACACAAUGAGUAUAGAAUCAUGGAUCAACAGUAAUUUCUAAUACACCUUUGAUGUAAUUAAAAUAUCUAUAUAGCUUAUGUUCAUAAUCCAUUGAGGCGUUUGUGUCGCUGACAAAUUACAGUUUUUAAAUAGGAUACACAACACAUCGUUAUUAACUUUCAGAGUCAUGACGAAUUUUAAAUUUUAUUAAACCAAAGUUGUCACAUAACAAGACAGUGAAUGUAUUUGGAAUAUUAUUGUUCUGUUCUGAAAUCUAUAAAUUUACCUUUGGUUUAUAAUACACAUUAUACAGUUACAAUGGAAUUGUGUGUACAUUUAUUGCCCCUAAUAAAGUCUGGCAGCAGU